rnacentral:rRNA from 1 species
CCUACGGGAGGCAGCAGUGAGGAAUAUUGGUCAAUGGGAGAGAUCCUGAACCAGCCAAGCCGCGUGAGGGAAGACGGCCCUAUGGGUUGUAAACCUCUUUUGUCGGAGAACAAAACCCGGGACGUGUCCCGGACUGCGUGUAUCCGAAGAAAAAGCAUCGGCUAACUCCGUGCCAGCAGCCGCGGUAAUACGGAGGAUGCGAGCGUUAUCCGGAUUUAUUGGGUUUAAAGGGUGCGUAGGCUGUGAGGUAAGUCAGCGGUGAAAUGCCCCCGCUCAACGGGGUGAAGUGCCAUUGAUACUGCCUUGCUGGAAUGCGGAUGCCGUGGGAGGAAUGUGUGGUGUAGCGGUGAAAUGCAUAGAUAUCACACAGAACACCGAUUGCGAAGGCAUCUCACGAAUCCGCGAUUGACGCUGAUGCACGAAAGCGUGGGUAUCAAACAGGAUUAGAUACCCGAGUAGUC